rnacentral:rRNA from 1 species
CGGAAACUGUAGUUCUUGAGUGAAGUAGAGGCAGGCGGAAUUCCUAGUGUAGCGGUGAAAUGCGUAGAUAUUAGGAGGAACACCAGUGGCGAAGGCGGCCUGCUGGGCUUUAACUGACGCUGAGGCUCGAAAGUGUGGGGAGCAAACAGGAUUAGAUACCCUGGUAGUCCACACUGUAAACGAUGAUUACUAGGUGUGGGGGGACUGACCCCUUCCGUGCUGGAGUAAACACAAUAAGUAAUCCACCUGGGGAGUACGGCCGCAAGGUUGAAACUCAAAGGAAUUGACGGGGGCCCGCACAAGCAGUGGAGUAUGUGGUUUAAUUCGAAGCAACGCGAAGAACCUUACCAGGUCUUGACAUCGUGCGCAUAGUAUAGAGAUAUAUGAAGUCCUUCGGGACGCAUAGACAGGUGGUGCAUGGUUGUCGUCAGCUCGUGUCGUGAGAUGUCGGGUUAAGUCCCUCAACGAGCGCAACCCUUACGAUUAGUUGCUACGCAAGAGCACUCUAAUAGGACUGCCGUUGACAAAACGGAGGAAGGUGGGGAUGACGUCAAAUCAUCAUGCCCCUUAUGACCUGGGCUACACACGUACUACAAUGGUGAUCAACAGAGGGAAGCAAAGCGGCGACGCGGAGCAAAUCCCUAAAAGUCAUCUCAGUUCGGAUCGCAGGCUGCAACUCGCCUGCGUGAAGUUGGAAUUGCUAGUAAUCGCAGAUCAGAAUGCUGCGGUGAAUACGUUCCCGGGCCUUGUACACACCGCCCGUCACACCAUGGGAGUCGGUAACACCCGAAGCCAGCAGCCUAGCCCGCAAGGGAGGGAACUGUCGAAGGUGGGAUUGAUGACUGGGGUG